rnacentral:rRNA from 1 species
CGUUAAACAACUUAUUAAAGAGCAUAAACUUAGCGCAUCGUGGAAUCUUACCUUCGGUUGGGGCGACCACGGAGGAAAAAACAGCCUCCGAGUGGACUGGGAGUAAAUCCUAAAGUUAAGAGCAACACCUCUAAACCACAGAACAUCUGACCAAACAUGAUCCGGACAUAAGUCCGAUCAACGAACCAAGUUACCCUAGGGAUAACAGCGCAAUCCUCUCCCAGAGUCCAUAUCGACGAGGGGGUUUACGACCUCGAUGUUGGAUCA